rnacentral:rRNA from 1 species
CCUACGGGAGGCAGCAGUGGGGAAUAUUGGACAAUGGGCGCAAGCCUGAUCCAGCCAUGCCGCGUGAGUGAUGAAGGCCUUAGGGUUGUAAAGCUCUUUUGCCAGGGAAGAUAAUGACUGUACCUGGAGAAUAAGCCCCGGCUAACUUCGUGCCAGCAGCCGCGGUAAUACGAAGGGGGCUAGCGUUGUUCGGAAUCACUGGGCGUAAAGCGCACGUAGGCGGACUUUUAAGUCAGGGGUGAAAGCCUGAGGCUCAACCUCAGAACUGCCCUUGAUACUGGGAGUCUUGAGUAUGGUAGAGGUUGGUGGAACAGCAAGUGUAGAGGUGAAAUUCGUAGAUAUUUGCUAGAACACCAGUGGCGAAGGCGGCCAACUGGACCAUAACUGACGCUGAGGUGCGAAAGCGUGGGGAGCAAACAGGAUUAGAUACCCUGGUAGUCCACGCCGUAAACGAUGGAUGCUAGCCGUUAGCCAGCUUGCUGGGUAGUGGCGCAGGUAACCCUUUAAGCAUCCCGCCUGGGGAGUACGGUCGCAAGAUUAAAACUCAAAGGAAUUGACG